AGCCAUGUUUUAUAAAAACUCCAACAUGGGUGGUUUAUAACUAAUUGGAAAAACAUAUCUUAUCUCAGUUGACUUAAUCCUUUUUGCAGUGCUGGAGAGGGCCC